UACGGGGGGGGCAAGCGUUGUUCAGAAUUACUGGGCGUAAAGCGCACGUAGGCGGAUCGAUCAGUCAGGGGUGAAAUCCCAGGGCUCAACCCUGGAACUGCCUUUGAUACUGUCGAUCUGGAGUAUGGAAGAGGUGAGUGGAAUUCCGAGUGUAGAGGUGAAAUUCGUAGAUAUUGGGAGGAACACCAGUGGCGAAGGCGGCUCACUGGACCGGAACUGACGCUGAGGCGCGAAAGCGUGGGGAGCAAACAGG
rnacentral:rRNA from 1 species